rnacentral:lncRNA from 1 species
AGGGCGCGCGGCCCGACUUCCACUCUGCAACCAGGACCCUGGAGCUCAGCUCUUGGGCUGGCGCUGGCUCUCAGCUGUUCAACUGAGUUCAUCUACCCUUCCCAGACCAAGAGAGGAUGGUUGACUUCUUUUUCCUGAUUCAGCCUCUCACUUCUCUCACCUGGAGUUAGUUCAGGUCACCCAGUAGAGAAAACCGUGGAGUAGGGCUGCUGCUCGGAUUAAAGAAGGCAAUGAAAGUAGCCUGGUUUCCUCUGAGGCACUGAAGACUCCGUUCCCUGUUACUGGGUUGGUUACAUUGCUAGAAGGAUCCGAGGCUAUUAGUUUUGAAGGGACCGAAGGCCCCUAAACUUCCUUUAGAACUGUUUAACUUAAACAAAGAAUACUAAAAUACUGUUUGUCCUUUUUAACUUACACAAAGAAUGCCGAAAUAUUGUUUACACGUGGUAAUGUGCCAGUGUUUAAAAGCUUGUUAGUGAGGGUAGAGUCAUUCUGGAAUUGGGGUUAGUCCUAGACUUUCAUUUUAUCUCACGGGGAUUAUUGUGAGGAUUAACUGAAAUAACUUAAAAAAAAAUCUGAUGUGCAUUAGUUGAUCAGAAACCCCUGGAUUCUAGCCGUUUUGUCGUUGCUGCUGUAUGACAGUUGGGAUACUCUCCAUACUAGAGAUUUUUGAGAAUGCAAUAAUCGCUGAUCAUUUGGUGCUCCCCCCACAGUUUCCCAAUAUGAACAUUGACUGUAGUAAUGGUAGAGUAAGUCUCUGCCCCAAGGUUGUUUUUGUAAAAUACAACACACAAAAACCAAUUUUUAAUAAAAGUUACUAACAUGGGAAAUAAGAUUAAUCCAAUAGCGUUUUGAGAGAAAAACAGUCUUCAUAAAAAUAAACAACCAUUUUCUAAAAACAGGGGAAUCAGAGACAGUUAUUGCAAAUAAACACUGAAGGUUCAAUAAGAGAAAUGGCAUUUUAACUUAAUAUCUGUGACAGUCCCUUUUUUUUCUAAGAAGUGCAUGUGUUCUAUAACCAAAGCAUGUCAGAAAAAUCAUCUUAAAAAGAUUUCUUGUGGUAAUGUAAAAAUUUUUAAAUCUGAUGUUAAGCUUACCAAAACAGAUUAUUUAAAUUACAUAUGUACUUAUCCUCUUAUAAAGGGGAUAAUGCUUCCUUUACAUUAUAGGGAGACAUAAUAAUAAAAUAUGAAAGAAGAAAAUAUAAAGUAAUAAGGGGUACCAAGAAUUUAACUCAAGACAGGUAAAGCUGGUUUCUAUUGAGCUUGUGACCUAGAAAUCCAAAUAGUUGCUUAUUGCUUCUGUUGGCCAGUUACGAUGAACUCAUUUGAGAUUUUGUGUUCAAAAGAUGAGGUGGAAAAAAUAGAUUUAAUACAGUAUUUAGAACUUUAUUCUCUUCUCAUAAGAUAAUUUCAUAGAAAACAUCUAAUCUUUGGGGUCUAUAGGAAAUGAAUGACUAAUAAUGACUGAUCCUUACUACUAUUAUAGUAACUAUAGAAACAAGAAUAUGAGCAGGAAAUGUCUGAAUCUUGGUGGGAAAUUUGAAACUUUCUUUUUUCCUAUUGUCUGUUUCCUGCCCCUGUGGCCUUCCUCCUCCAGACCAAAUUCCAGGGCUAAUCCAAGGGAAAUAGCACACCAAGCUCUCAAAAGUAGCUACAUCAACAUUAAAAAUGUUCCAAUCAUGAAGCAAAUUCAUUAUAUCAAGCAUCAUAUUUGAACUUUAAGAAAAUGUUAGCUAAAAUUCAAUAGCUCUUAACUUACAAAGAGGCUUUGGAACAAAACUUAGUUUUUAAGCCAGUUAUUUGGCACUUAAAUGUAUUUCUCUUGGAGGCAGAAAUGAUGGAUGAUAAGGUUCCCAACCCAGCCCAAUAGCAUGGCUAUUAUGGUUCCUAUGUUAGCCAAAAUCUGUGUAACCCAUAGUACAGCUGAAAUACUAUAUAUUUUCAAUGAAAACUAGUAGAAAAAAAAUUGUAAUCCUCAUGGUAAAAUAAGAUCAUUAGGAGUUCCAUGGUGGCCAAAGGGUCAAGGAUCCAACAUUGUCACUGCUGUGGUUCUGGUUACUGCUGUGGCUUGGGUUCAAUCCCUGGCAUGGGAACUUUCGCAUGCCAUGGU